rnacentral:rRNA from 1 species
CGUAGGCGGUUUUUUAAGUCAGAUGUGUAAUCCCCGAGCUUAACUUGGGAACUGCAUCUGAGACUGGAAGGCUAGAGUACUGGAGAGGGUGGUGGAAUUCCUACGUGUAGCGGUGAAAUGCGUAGAGAUGAGGAGGAACACCAGUGGCGAAGGCGGCCACCUGGACAGUAACUGACGCUGAGGCGCGAAAGUGUGGGUAGCAAACAGGAUUAGAUACCCUGGUAGUCCACGCUGUAAACGAUGAACACUUGGUGUGGAGGGAGUUGACCCCUUCCGUGCCGGAGCUAACGCGUUAAGUGUUCCGCCUGGGGAGUACGGUCGCAAGGCUGAA